UAGUAAUCAUGGAAGGUCCAGCAAAGUC
rnacentral:sRNA from 1 species